GCAUCUGUAGCCUAGUUGGUUAAAGGCAGCAGCAUGUGUCUCACUUAUACUGAGGUUGUGAGUUCGAAUCUUGCCAGACACA
rfam:Puccinia sorghi strain RO10H11247 Scaffold_13034, whole genome shotgun sequence.